UACGUAGGGACCGAGCGUUGUCCGGAAUCAUUGGGCGUAAAGAGCGUGUAGGCGGCCUUUUAAGUCCUGCGUGAAAUCUUGCGGCUCAACCGCAAGCGGUCGUGGGAAACUGGUCGGCUAGAGUGCGGGAGAGGAGAGUGGGAAUUCCUGGUGUAGCGGUGAAAUGCGCAGAUAUCAGGAAGAACACCAAUGGCGAAAGCAGCUCUCUGGGACGGUACUGACGCUGAGACGCGAAAGCGUGGGGAGCGAACAGG
rnacentral:rRNA from 1 species